CAGGGAAAAGUUUUUUUAAAUUUAAUAAUUAAAGUUAUUUUAAUUUGUGAAGAANCAAUUAUAUAAAUUAAGGACAAGAAGACCCUAAGAAUUUAAGAAUUCUUAUGUUACUUAAAUAUAAACUAGGAAUUCUUAGUUGGGGCAACUAAAAAACAUUAUAAACUUUUUUUCUUUAAAAUGACCCAUUAUUAAUGAUAAUAUGAUUAAAUACUCUAGGGAUAACAGCGUAAUAAUUUUUGAUAGAUCUUAUAGACAAAAUAGUUUGCGACCUCG
rnacentral:rRNA from 1 species